rnacentral:tRNA from 1 species
GUACUGUUACCGCAGUAGGUAGUGUGUCAGUCUCAUAAUCCGAAGAUCGUGAGUUCGAUCCUCACACAGGGCA